rnacentral:rRNA from 1 species
UACAGAGGUGGCAAGCGUUGUUCGGAAUUACUGGGCGUAAAGGGCGCGUAGGCGGUUCGUUAAGUCCUGUGUGAAAUCCCCCGGCUCAACUGGGGAACUGCACAGGAAACUAGCGGGCUUGAGUUCGGGAGAGGGAAGCGGAAUUCCGGGUGUAGCGGUGAAAUGCGUAGAUAUCGCUUGGAACGCCGAAGGUGAAAACAGGUCGCUGGGGAUGUGCCGACGCUGAGACACGAAAGCCAGGGGAGCAAACGGG